UACGUAGGUGGCAAGCGUUGUCCGGAAUUAUUGGGCGUAAAGCGCGCGCAGGCGGCCUCUUAAGUCUGAUGUGAAAGCCCCCGGCUCAACCGGGGAGGGCCAUUGGAAACUGGGAGGCUUGAGUAUAGGAGAGAAGAGUGGAAUUCCACGUGUAGCGGUGAAAUGCGUAGAUAUGUGGAGGAACACCAGUGGCGAAGGCGACUCUCUGGUCUGUAACUGACGCUGAGGCGCGAAAGCGUGGGGAGCAAACAGG
rnacentral:rRNA from 1 species